GUGGGGAAUCUUGGACAAUGGGCGCAAGCCUGAUCCAGCCAUGCCGCGUGGAUGAUGAAGGCCUUAGGGUUGUAAAAUCCUUUCGUCGGGGACGAUAAUGACGGUACCCGAAGAAGAAGCUCCGGCUAACUUCGUGCCAGCAGCCGCGGUAAUACGAAGGGGGCUAGCGUUGUUCGGAUUUACUGGGCGUAAAGCGCGUGUAGGCGGGUCGUUAAGUUGGGGGUGAAAUCCCGAGGCUCAACCUCGGAACUGCCUUCAAAACUGGCGACCUGGAGCAAAGAAGAGGCGAGUGGAAUUGCGAGUGUAGAGGUGAAAUUCGUAGAUAUUCGCAGGAACACCAGUGGCGAAGGCGACUCGCUGGUCUUUUGCUGACGCUGAGACGCGAAAGCGUGGGGAGCAAACAGGAUUAGAUACCCCAGUAGUCC
rnacentral:rRNA from 1 species